AUGGUCAUCAUGAACGAGGAGCUGAACUUGACUAAGUAUGAAGGAGACGACGUGUCAAUCCAGUGCAAACAUCAGGAUGAAGAUCAGAAAAGCUUCUGCAAAGCACAUGAAGCCUCCAUGUGUGUGAAGGAUGGAGUUUCACUGGAGACGAUCAGAGAUGAUCGAUUCUCUUUCAGUGAUGAAGCAUCUGCUGGAGUCUUUACUGUGAACAUCACUGAUCUGAGAGAAGAGGAUUCUGGGAUAUACUGGUGUGGAGCUCACGUCACCACUAAAGUCAUUCUAGAAGUCAACAAAAGGGCUUCUGACAGAAUCAUCACUUCUUGCAUCUUUGUGACUCUGCUUCUGAUGGGAGCGUCUGUCCUGUUAUUAUACAAAUUAGGAUACAUCAAGACACGAGGUGAUGAUCAAAAUCACACACAUGAUUUAACGGUCUAUUAGCCAUGUGUGAUAUGCUACUGUUUUACUUUUCCCCUGUCGUUUUGAAUUUAAAUAACAUGAGCAGUUUAGCCAGUUCUCAUCUGAUUCAUUGGAAAAUGGGCCUGUAUAGUUAUCUGUAACUAAUUAUUUGACUUUUUUUCCAACCUUAUACCUGAAGACACUGUAAUACUCCACACUCAGGCCCAAAUUGACUAAACGGGUCAUAUUAUGUUCUCUUAAGGCAACUUUAGUAUACUUUUGCAUAUUUAAACUAUUAAGUAAGUUUUGUUGUGAGCAUUUGUACUCUGGUUAUAAUCCACAGAUCAGCAUCCUUCCCCAGACAGAACAGAGAUGAGCGGUGGAGAGGUGAGGGGUGUUUAGUUUCUUGUUUAUUGAACAUUUUGUUGACUGUCAUUUGCAGUAAAUGUGUGAUCAUUUGCAAUGCAAAACAAAAACUUAAUACUUUCACUCCUGAGUACAAUGUUUGCCAUGCUUGUUUGUAGGGCUGCACAAUUUGGUCAAAAUUUUGUGAUUAUAAAUACACAUGUAUAAUAAUAAUAAUAAUAAUAAUAAUAAUAAUAAACUGUUAUCAUUACUAUUAUUAAAUACAAAUAAAAAAGAUACACAUUUUUUUUUUAAAAUAUUAUUGUAAAUGCUCAUGUGUAAAUGAACACAGUGCCAUGCUUCACUCAGAAACAUGCAGUAUAUAUAUCUCAAUUAAUCACACAACCCUCGUAUUCAAUCGAGUUUAUUUCUCUCGUCUAUUUUCAGGCCUUUCAUGCUGCAUGUGAUUAUGAGAAUAUCAGAGACGUCAGACACUGCUUAGUCGUGGGAACUGAGGAAACUGUGUUAAAUUCCACUGCCACGCGUCCCACAGACUCGUCUGAUCCACACAACACACUGUAUUCUAAAUUACAGUUACCCACAAACCCCUCUGAUGGGCUCCUGUACGCUUCGGUCCAUUUCCAGAAGCAUGAAGAGUCUCUCAGUGAUGCUAAAGAAACCUCCAAUAACGAGGAGGUUCACUGUUAUUAUACCACGGUAAGACCCCGCAUGUCACUCAACUAAUUCCACUCUUAAAAAUAAAGGUUUCAGAAGGGUGGUGUUUCUUUCUUUCUUUUUUUUUUUUUUUUGUAGUGAUGCCAAAGAAGAACCCUUUUUGGUUCCCCAAAGAACCUUUAUGUAAACUGUUCUUAAAUGAGCUGUGUUUUUCUUAGUGUAGACAAUAUUCUAACAUUCUAAAGAAUGUUUUCAGCUAAUGCUUGUGCAUUGUGAAGAUUCCAUUGAUGUUAAAGGCUCUUCAUGGAACCGUCAAGGCCGAUAAAGAAGCUUUAUUUGGAAUCUGGUCAUGAAUGCAGUGAAAUUGUAAUGUGUACAGUGACUCCUAAAAUUAUUUACACUUCAGUGACACUUAAAAAAGCAUUUCAUUAGAUAGAAAAUUAUAUAAAAAAAUCAAAUACCAUUUAUUGUAAAGAAAGGUAGCAAAAGUACUUUUUUUCUCUCAAAAUAAUAAGUAUUGCAUGACUUUGCGUUUGUUUGUGAUUAGUGUAACAUAUUCACAGUGAACUGCCCUUCUGUACACUCAUAAAUGUGAAAGAAAUUCAUAAUUGAGGAAAAACUAAUAGCAUUUGUUUACACGUGGAACUUGAUCUGCUCUGCUCGGUUUACUAUAGUUAGUCAUUUUAUCACACUACCAUGAAAUUACAGAUAACAGAAACUGUAGAUAAACAAAGUAAACACAGGAGCAGAGCAUCUGCUGAAAAUAUAAAAGAAAACAACUCGACUGGACAUUUUUUUUUUUUUACACACACAACACACCCUUGCACCCAAAAGCAUCUGGAAAUGACUGAUGCGUCAAAAUGCAGGAAGAAAAAGGAGCCGUUAACAUAUGUACAUUCAUUAUGAAUUUUACUUACUGCCACUGUUUAUUUAUUCUUUCUAACUGCACUGUGUUUGUUCAGAGAUGCCUUAUAAACAGAAGGACCAUAUGACAUAAAGCAGUGUGUUUAAGAGCCGUACCAGUUAUGAGACUGAGAUAUUAAUACAUGCUAAAUUAAAUAUGUGCCUUGUUUAUAUCAUGUAUAUUGUACAGAUCAUCACAUGAGUGUGUGUUUGUUAUAUACAGGUUUCUGUUUUUCAUUUAUCAAAGUGAUAAUUCUACAGGGACGCUAACCCCCAUAAUCACCUUCAGCUGGUCAGUUGUUUGACUUGACUGCUAAUUAUUCACUUUGUGUACCACACGUUUCAGUAUGCUGCCCUCUGCUGUUCAAGUAUUAAAAAUGCAGUUUAAACCUUUCCUUGGUUUGACUCGAUUUAUUGGGUACCGGUCAGUGAACAGCAUCAUGACUGAUGAAAACAAUACAAAGACGGAUUUUAAACCACAUUUGCAUGCAAGCACCCAUGUGUUUUUCUACUCUUCAGAUAUUGUUAUUUUUGUUUGUUUGUUUUGUAAAUGUGUGUGUGCUAAUUUGUGUGGCAGAAGCUUUCAGACCUGCACAGGUGCUAACAGACAGGAAGUUGCUCACUCUCACUCUCUUUGGUUUAACUCCACUGUGAGUCAGUGACAGCAGGAAUGUAUUUCAUCACUGUGAGCCAGAAAAGAGUUAAGCAAAGAGGAAGAGGAAGAGGAAGAGGUGGAGCUGUUUGUAUGUAUAUAUAUAUAUAUAUAUAACAACCCUUAAAGAGCUGAAGAUAGAGACACAAAAUCAGACACAGCUCUCAGCAUCUUUGACUGCAGAAGAAUGUACAGAUUCACAGGAUCGAGAGUUUUAUCAUCAGUGAUUUUACAAUAUUUAUAUUUAAUGUUUAAUUAAAAUUACAAAUGAGUUUGUUUUGCUGUCAGGGUCGUGUUGUGGGACAUCAGAAGAACAGACUGCUUAUUUAAGAGGAACUGCUGUCAUCCGAGAAAUAUAAAGAUCAUUUUAAAUCAACAUAAAAUUUGGAACAUAACUUAUUUAGACAUGAGGCUUUAAUAUUAUAGCAAUUUUGGAUUUAAAAAUAUUUUGUAAAAUAUUU
rnacentral:lncRNA from 12 species